rnacentral:rRNA from 1 species
AGUUGUAAUUUGGAGAGGAUGCUUCGGGCACGGCCCCCGUCUAAGUGCCCUGGAACGGGCCGUCAUAGAGGGUGAGAAUCCCGUCUGGGACGGGUGGCCGGGCCCGUGUGAAGCUCCUUCGACGAGUCGAGUUGUUUGGGAAUGCAGCUCUAAAUGGGUGGUAAAUUUCAUCUAAAGCUAAAUAUGGGCCGGAGACCGAUAGCGCACAAGUAGAGUGAUCGAAAGAUGAAAAGCACUUUGGAAAGAGAGUUAAACAGCACGUGAAAUUGUUGAAAGGGAAGCGCUUGCGACCAGACUCGCCCGGGGGGGCUCAGCCGGCACUCGUGCCGGUGCACUCCCCCCCGGGCGGGCCAGCGUCGGUUUGGGCGGCCGGUCAAAGGCCCCCGGAAUGUGUCGCCCUCCGGGGCGUCUUAUAGCCGGGGGUGCAAUGCGGCCAGCCCAGACCGAGGAACGCGCUUCGGCUCGGACGCUGGCGUAAUGGUCGUAAGCGGCCCGUCUUGAAACACGGACCAAGGAGUCUAACAUCUACGCGAGUGUUCGGGUGUUAAACCCGUCCGCGCAGUGAAAGCGAACGGAGGUGGGAACCCCCC